ACGCUGGCGGCAGGCUUAACACAUGCAAGUCGAACGGUAACAGGAAUUAGCUUGCUAAUUUGCUGACGAGUGGCGGACGGGUGAGUAAUGCUUGGGAAUCUGGCUCAUGGAGGGGGAUAACUACGGGAAACUGUAGCUAAUACCGCGUAAAAUCUUCGGAUUAAAGGGUGGGACUUUCGAGCCACCUGCCAUAAGAUGAGCCCAAGUGGGAUUAGGUAGUUGGUUAGGUAAAGGCUGACCAAGCCGACGAUCUCUAGCUGGUCUGAGAGGAUGACCAGCCACACUGGAACUGAGACACGGUCCAGACUCCUACGGGAGGCAGCAGUGGGGAAUAUUGCACAAUGGGGGGAACCCUGAUGCAGCCAUGCCGCGUGAAUGAAGAAGGCCUUCGGGUUGUAAAGUUCUUUCGGUGACGAGGAAGGUUGAUAGGUUAAUAGCCUAUCAAAUUGACGUUAAUCACAGAAGAAGCACCGGCUAACUCCGUGCCAGCAGCCGCGGUAAUACGGGGGGUGCGAGCGUUAAUCGGAAUAACUGGGCGUAAAGGGCACGCAGGCGGUGACUUAAGUGAGAUGUGAAAGCCCCGAGCUUAACUCGGGAAUUGCAUUUCAUACUGGGUCGCUAGAGUACUUUAGGGAGGGGUAGAAUUCCACGUGUAGCGGUGAAAUGCGUAGAGAUGUGGAGGAAUACCGAAGGCGAAGGCAGCCCCUUGGGAAUGUACUGACGCUCAUGUGCGAAAGCGUGGGGAGCAAACAGGAUUAGAUACCCUGGUAGUCCACGCUGUAAACGAUGUCGAUUUGGGGAUUGGGCUUUGAGCUUGGUGCCCGUAGCUAACGUGAUAAAUCGACCGCCUGGGGAGUACGGCCGCAAGGUUAAAACUCAAAUGAAUUGACGGGGGCCCGCACAAGCGGUG
rnacentral:rRNA from 1 species